AACGCGAAGAACCUUACCAGGACUUGACAUCCCGCUGACCGCUCUAGAGAUAGAGCUUCCCUUCGGGGCAGCGGUGACAGGUGGUGCAUGGUUGUCGUCAGCUCGUGUCGUGAGAUGUUGGGUUAAGUCCCGCAACGAGCGCAACCCCUAAAUUGUGUUGCCAUCAUUCAGUUGGGCACUCACAAUUGACUGCCGGUGACAAACCGGAGGAAGGCGGGGAUGACGUCAAAUCAUCAUGCCCCUUAUGUCCUGGGCUACACACGUGCUACAAUGGGCGGUACAAAGAGACGCGAGACCGCGAGGUGGAGCCAAAUCUCAGAAAGCCGUUCGUAGUUCGGAUUGCAGGCUGCAACUCGCCUGCAUGAAGCCGGAAUUGCUAGUAAUCGCGGAUCAGCAUGCCGCGGUGAAUUCGUUCCCGGGCCUUGUACACACCGUAGUAC
rnacentral:rRNA from 1 species